rnacentral:rRNA from 1 species
CUUGUAGGCGGUCUGUCGCGUCUGCUGUGAAAAUCCGGGGCUCAACCCCGGACUUGCAGUGGGUACGGGCAGACUAGAGUGUGGUAGGGGAGACUGGAAUUCCUGGUGUAGCGGUGGAAUGCGCAGAUAUCAGGAGGAACACCGAUGGCGAAGGCAGGUCUCUGGGCCACUACUGACGCUGAGAAGCGAAAGCAUGGGGAGCGAACA